AAGGAACAUUCUUAAUCAGCUUUAAUCAGGCAGAGAGCCAUGGUCAAUCAGAAUUGGUUGCUUAAAUCCUAGACGUUGCACAGCAAAGCUAUCUGUGAUGACGAUGCAAUCUUUGAAUAGUGAAGACUUAUAUUUCUUGAGCCCAGAGAGUUUGACUAGUGAACUGAAAAGGAACCAGGAGUAUGGUGUCCUACUUUCUCUGCGGGAAGGGGCAGAAACUACAGAUGUGAUCAGGGGCAUAUUGCAUGCAAGUUAUGUCCGCAAGGGUAUAGAAGCUUGUGGUAGUUCUAGUGCAGUUCUCAAGCAAUGGUUUAACCUGGUUGAAGAUGGCAAGAGGUUAACAGAACAAAACUUGAGUUUCUUGUAUGAGCAAAUGUUGUCUUUAGGGUGGGCAUGUAAGAAUAUUCUGUUGAGCACGCAGGAGCAAGCCCGCUAUAGUUUCAUAGCUGACUGAGCAUAUAUCUACUUUCUUCCAGUUAUGGUUGAUUCGCAAAGAUGAAAGUGAAUAAAGGGUCAAAGAAAACCAAGACUAGGAGAUUUUGUCUUUAUAUCCUUGUAUUUGUAUAUAAUCAAAAUUUUGGGUAUCAAAAAG
rnacentral:misc_RNA from 1 species